rnacentral:rRNA from 1 species
GAGUUCAAGAGUACGUGAAACUGUGCAGUGGUAAACGGAGGUGUGCUCGAAGUCUGGGCAGGAGGUUCAGGCUGUCUGUGGGGCAGGUUGGGUUAGCGAGAUCCGCAAGGACUCCUGGCUUUGCCUUGCUCUGCGGCCGGCUGCACUUCUCUUGCUCUUCACACGACGAACUGCUGGUCGUGGACCGAGGGCGUGGGUGAAGUUGGGGACUUGUGCCCCAGCCCCGCGUUCCUGGCUCUGCGGCGGGCAGGUAUUGGAGCGGGCUCGUAUAGCGAGUGUCUCACUGGCACGGCUCGCCUCUCUGUCGUGAGUAGGUCGGCGGCACCUCCGACCCGUCUUGAAACACGGAC